GCGUACGGCCAUACUACCGGGAAUACACCUGAACCCGUUCGAUUUCAGAAGUUAAGCCUGGUCAGGCCCAGUUAGU
rnacentral:rRNA from 1 species